rnacentral:rRNA from 1 species
GACGUAGGGUGCAAGCGUUGUCCGGAUUUACUGGGCGUAAAGAGCGCGUAGGCGGCUCAUUAAGUGUGAAGUGAAAUCUUCAGGGCUCAACCCGAAAACUGCUUUACAUACUGAUGAGCUUGAGGAGUGCAGAGGUUAGUGGAAUUCCUGGUGUAGCGGUGAAAUGCGUUGAUAUCAGGAGGAACUCCGGUGGCGAAAGCGGCGUGCUGGACCCCUUCUGACGCUGAGGCACGAAAGCUAGGGGAGCAAACGGG